AUUGAACGCUGGCGGCAGGCCUAACACAUGCAAGUCGAACGAGUGGCGGACGGGUGAGUAAUGUCUGGGAAACUGCCUGAUGGAGGGGGAUAACUACUGGAAACGGUAGCUAAUACCGCAUACCAUCAGAUGUGCCCAGGUGGGCUUAGCUAGUUGGUGGGGUAACGGCUGACCAAGGCGACGAUCCCUAGCUGGUCUGAGAGGAUGACCAGCCAGACUGGAACGGUGAGACGGUCCAGACUCCUAAGGGAGGCAGCAGUGGGGAAUAUUGCACAAUGGGCGCAAGCCUGAUGCAGCCAUGCCGGGUGUAUGAAGAAGGCCUUCGGGUUGUAAAGGACUUUCAGCGGGGAGGCGUUACCCGCAGAAGAAGCACCGGCUAACUCCGUGCCAGCAGCCGCGGUAAUUC
rnacentral:rRNA from 1 species